CCUACGGGAGGCAGCAGUGGGGAAUAUUGGGCAAUGGAGGAAACUCUGACCCAGCAACGCCGCGUGAAUGAUGAAGGUCUUCGGAUUGGAAAGUUCUUUUCUAAGGGAAGAAGAAAGUGACGGUACCUUAGGAAUAAGCCUCGGCUAACUACGUGCCAGCAGCCGCGGCAAUACGUAGGAGGCGAGCGUUAUCCGGAAUGACUGGGCGUAAAGGGUGCGUAGGUGGUUUGGCAAGUUAGUAGCGUAACUCUAAGGCUCAACCUUGGAACUACUACUAAAACUGUUGGACUUGAGUGCAGGAGGGGCAACCGGAAUUCCUAGUGUAGCGGUGGAAUGCGUAGAUAUUAGGAGGAACACCAGUGGCGAAGGCGGGUUGCUAGACUGUAACUGACACUGAGGCACGAAAGCGUGGGGAGCAAACAGGAUUAGAUACCCUAGUAGUC
rnacentral:rRNA from 1 species